AUUGAACGCUGGCGGCAGGCCUAACACAUGCAAGUCGAGCGAGCGGCGGACGGGUGAGUAAUGUAUGGGGACUGCCCGAUAGAGGGGGAUAAGUACUGGAAACGGUGGCUAAUAACGCAUACUAUCGGAUAACCCAUAUGGGAUUAGCUAGUAGGUGGGGUAAAGGCUCACCUAGGCGACGACCUCUAGCGGGUCUGAGAGGAUGAUCAGCCAGACUGAGACAGAGACUGAGCCCAGACACCGACGGAGGCAGCAGUGGGAAAUAUUGCACAAUGGGCGCAAGCCUGAUUCAGCCAUGCGGCGUGUAUGAAGAAGGCCUUACGGUUGUAAAGUACUUUCAGCGUGGAAGCGUUACCCGCAGAAGAAGCACCGGCUAACUCCGUGCCAGCAGCCGCGGUAAUAC
rnacentral:rRNA from 1 species